rnacentral:rRNA from 1 species
GGCGGACGGGUGAGUAACGCGUGGGCAACCUGCUCUGUACAGGGGGAUAACACUUAGAAAUAGGUGCUAAUACCGCAUAACGGGGGAAGCCGCAUGGCUUUUCCCUGAAAACUCCGGUGGUACAGGAUGGGCCCGCGUCUGAUUAGCCAGUUGGCAGGGUAACGGCCUACCAAAGCGACGAUCAGUAGCCGGCCUGAGAGGGCGGACGGCCACACUGGGACUGAGACACGGCCCAGACUCCUACGGGAGGCAGCAGUGGGGGAUAUUGCACAAUGGGGGGAACCCUGAUGCAGCGACGCCGCGUGGGUGAAGAAGCGCCUCGGCGCGUAAAGCCCUGUCAGCAGGGAAGAAAAUGACGGUACCUGAAGAAGAAGCCCCGGCUAACUACGUGCCAGCAGCCGCGGUAAUACGUAGGGGGCAAGCGUUAUCCGGAUUUACUGGGUGUAAAGGGGGCGCAGACGGCGAUGCAAGCCAGGAGUGAAAGCCCGGGGCCCAACCCCGGGACUGCUCUUGGAACUGCGUGGCUGGAGUGCAGGAGGGGCAGGCGGAAUUCCUGGUGUAGCGGUGAAAUGCGUAGAUAUCAGGAGGAACACCGGUGGCGAAGGCGGCCUGCUGGACUGCAACUGACGUUGAGGCCCGAAAGCGU